CCUCCUUCUGGAUUCCCGUUCCUGCUAUUGAGUUAGUGGGGACGUCACAGGGGGCUCAUCGUCGUCAUGCAAAUGGCGGCGGUGGGUCCCUGGGGCCCAGAUCGUUUACCGUGAAAAAAUUAAAGUGUUCAAAGCAGGCAGAUCCAAUUCUCUGCCACCGAAUACAUUAGCAUGGGAUAAUGGAAUAGGACCCUGUCCUCCUAUUUUCAGUUGGUUUUGGCAGCGCGAGGACUAGGGUAAUGAUUAAUAGGGAUAGUUGGGGGCAUUAAUAUUUAAUUGUCAGAGGUGAAAUUCUUGGAUUUAUGAAAGAUUAACUUCUGCGAAAGCAUCUGCCAAGGAUGUUUUCAUUAAUCAAGAACGAAAGUUAGGGGAUCAAAAACGAUCAGAUACCGUCGUAGUCUUAACCAUAAACAAUGCCGACCAGCGAUUAGGAGACGUUGAAUACAAAACACCACCAUCGGGGCGGCUGUUCUUGGCGUCGGUUUCGGCCGGCGCGGGGAUGGCUUAUCCCGGUGGCACCGGGGAAUGACUCCCCUACCAGCUUGUGA
rnacentral:rRNA from 1 species